rnacentral:tRNA from 2 species
GGGCUUGUGGUCUAGCGGCUAUGACCCCUCCCUUACACGGAGGUGAUCGCCGGUUCGAUUCCGGCCGGGCCCA